UCCAGCUUAUCGCUGGCGGUCUCCUGAGAGUGCCCCCUUGCGGGGUUGCAACACAGGACAAGGGUUGCGCUCGUUGCGGGACUUAACCCAACAUCUCACGACACGAGCUGACGACAGCCAUGCAGCACCUCGACUACGGUCCCUUGCGGGAGGGCCCCUGUUUCCAAGAGCUUGCCGCAGCCGUUCGAGCCCAGGUAAGGUUCUUCGCGUUGCGUCGAAUUAAACCACAUGCUCCACCGCUUGUGCGGGCCCCCGUCAAUUCCUUUGAGUUUCAGCCUUGCGGCCGUACUCCCCAGGCGGGGCACUUAAUGCGUUAGCUUCGGCACGGAGGGAGUCGACACCCCCCACACCUAGUGCCCAUCGUUUACAGCGUGGACUAC
rnacentral:misc_RNA from 1 species